rnacentral:rRNA from 1 species
UACGAAGGGGGCUAGCGUUGCUCGGAUUUACUGGGCGUAAAGCGCACGUAGGCGGAUCGAUCAGUCAGGGGUGAAAUCCCAGAGCUCAACUCUGGAACUGCCUUUGAUACUGUCGAUCUGGAGUAUGGAAGAGGUGAGUGGAAUUCCGAGUGUAGAGGUGAAAUUCGUAGAUAUUCGGAGGAACACCAGUGGCGAAGGCGGCUCACUGGUCCAUUACUGACGCUGAGGUGCGAAAGCGUGGGGAGCAAACAGG